rnacentral:ncRNA from 2 species
UAUCUACACUAGGGGUGUUCGUAGAAGAACUGAGAUGCGCUUGUGCAGCGUGAUCCCUUUGAACCUGUAAGUUGAUACUUGCGAAGGAAAGUGUUUAUUGGGCGAA